ensembl:lncRNA
UUUUAUCACCUUUAUUUAAACAGGUAGGCUAGUUGAGAACAAGUUCUCAUUUACAACUGCGACCUUGCCAAGAUAAAGCAUAGCAGUGUGAACAGGUAGGCUAGUUGAGAACAAGUUCUCAUUUACAACUGCGACCUGACCAAGAUAAAGCAUAGCAGUGUGAACAGACAGCAACACAGAGUUACACAUGGAGUAAACAAUAAACAAGUCAAUAACACAGACAUAACACAUUACCAUAACUCUGUUUAUACAAGGCUUGCAUCUAAUUGUUGUAUAAAAUGAAUAAGUAAAGAUGAAACUAUUUGUGAAAUGAUGUAAUGUGAUUAUAAACUGUUUAAUGAAGGAAACUCCAAUUCCCUUUGGAGUUUAACUAAGUCAUAGGCUCGCCCCAUGAGCACAGAUAUUGACCUGGCGUCGUGGGACAGCCCUUUUCUGCUGUUAUGAAUAUAACCCCCACCUGAAGGAUUUCCCACCAGACCAGCUUACCUCGAUUACCAUGAGAGGGCUAAGGUUUGAGUAGAGACCAUAAACCUAAGGUUGUAAUGUUUGUUGAAACUCUGAGACUAUCGAUACCGACAGAAUAAGAGCAAGUCGUUGAUACUAAUUAUUAGUCUGCAGCUAGGAAUUCUAUACCAUUGAAUGCUUCGGCCGACAACCGCCGAAACCUCUAUUCUAUAAGAAUAUUUCUGAAUGGGACUCUGAAGUACCCAUUCUAACACCGAAAGACAGGCUGAUGAACUUCCAACAGAAAGAAGGACGAUUCCAACAGAGAUCACGACACACUGAGCGUAAAUAUAUAUAUUUAUUGCAGUUAUUCCCGAAUGAGUGUGCGUUCAUGUGCGAAGGAUUAGCAUUUCAAUUGUUAUAAUUAUCAACCGCGUAGUGUAUUUUGUAUUUCGCGCCCUUCUCAGUCCCUUUGUCUACCAAGCCGCCAUGCCGGUUUAGACCACUAAGGCACAUCCUCUAUCAUUUCCUUGUAACCAUAUCUGCUUUGUUUGUUUGUGUGUGCAUUUCUGUGAUUAUUUAGUUAGAUAAUGAAUAAAUGAUUGAGACAAUUGAUGUACGGAUGAUUCAUAGUGAAGACUGGGUUGGUGCAGAUAACCAACAAUUUACUAAGUUUAUAAUGAGACUAACGUGAGGUAAAGAACAAUUAAUUAAUUAAUUGAUCAGAUAUGAAAAUAUCUGAAAUGGUGUAUUAGGAAAAUUAUAACUUUGUAUUCUGAAUAUUUUCCUUGGUGCCCCGACUUUCUAGUUAAUUACAUUUACAUGAUUAGAAUAAUCACGUAAUAAUAAUUACAGAGAAUUGAUUUGAUAAAAUAACAGUCUUCAUUUGAAUGAUGCCAAAGACACGAUAUAGUCUCUAUCUCUUUAGUUUUCCCACUCCCUCCCUACUGCUUCCUAUGAAUUCCAUCUGAUGUUGUAUGCAUGUUUAGGCCAGUGCUUGACUUGGACUGAAAUAUGGUGCCCGUACUAAUUUUUUAUAUUUAGGUGCAGGAACUCUUCAAUUAUUUUGAGCUAAUAUUCUAAAGAAGGUGCAGGAACUCAAGCAGAAGAAAAUUUGAAUUGUCGGUACUCAGUUCUGGUGAGCUCCUGCCGAAGUCAAGUAGGCUACUGUGCUUAAGUAAAAAGGCAAAUAAUGUCCCGUUUGGAAUACUGACAAGUAUAUUUUUACUCAAUCUGAUUGGGCGGGCCUGGCUCCCCAGUGGCCCCCCACCCAGGCCAACCCGUGCCUACGCCCCUGAUAUUGACCCUUACCUCUGACAUGACCUUUGACCCUAGAUGGCAGUUACUGCCUUCUUACUUGGUACACCCACUGGAAUAUGUUUCCAUGACAAAAAAUGUCAACACUAACUUGUGUUUAUAGAUUUAUUUGUAUAUGGCUUUCAGUUCCAUACAGUUUCAGUUACAGCACAACACAAUGGAGGAAGGAUUUUGCCCACAUGAUAAAGCAUGUAUUUAAUGUAUAAAAAAUGUCAGUAACUCCUUUUGGACUAAAUGUGAAGUUACUGCUCUUACUGCUGAUAACAGAUCCUUCUGUUGAGAAAAUACACUUUGCCUGUAUAUGAUAGGCGACACACACACGCAGGCACGCACGCACACACAAACAUACAUACUCACACACAAGGGCAUCAACCUGGGAUUCAGGCUCCCUCUGCAGGCCGUUGGUCUGAACUGCACUUCUCCUAAUCUUGAAGGCCAUGCCUUCUGUGACUGUCCUGUGGAUUAGGCCAGGGAUUUCACUGUGGAGUAAUGGGAGGACGGGUGGUGCUAGUGCUAAACUAAUCAGAUCAGUACAAACACAGAUCCUGUAAUGCAGAGCAAUCACUGUCUGUUGUGUGGAGAAACAGACACUGAGACACACUGUAGCCGGAAGCUAGGAGCACUGAGUGCUGUUUGUUUUGAAGGGACUGAGACUGAGCCAAGCUGGGAGACAUUUCAUCAUCAUCCCCAACAUGCUGACACAUGGAAACAAACCCAGCAGCAUGUUUCUGCAGUGCUAAGGUAUGGUCAUGCAGGUGUAUUACAGUACAGUAAAUCAUCAUGAGUGGAAGGUUGCGUGUGGAAUAAAGCAGAGGUGAAAUUAUCAUUUACAAAGAGCAGUGGAGCUGACAGGCAUAACAUGUCCUUCGGUGGCAGUCUGAGUUACCAAUAGUUUAGGUGGCAACACAGGAGAGAGUCCACUAGCAUUUCUCUAAACCCGCAAUAACAUUGGCUAAAUAUGUGUAUGUGACCAAUGCAAUUUGAUUUGACUAUUAGACCCCAAAAUGACCAAGCAGAGCAAGGUGUGUACUGGCCUAGUGUAUAUGUAGGCCUAGUGCAUUUAGGCCUAGUGUAUAUGUAGGCCUAGUGUAUUUAGGCCUAGUGUGUAUGUAGACCUAGUGUGUAUGUAUUUUUACUUAAGCACAGUAACCUACUUGACUUGGGCAGGAGCUCACCAGAACUGUGUACUGGAAACUCACAUGUUCUUCUGCUUGAGUUCCUGCACCUCCUUUAGAAUAUUAGCUCAAAAUAAUUGAAGAGUUCCUGCACCUAAAUAUAAAUGGUGCCCGUACCCAAAAUGAGUACAGGCAGAUCCAGUCAAAUCACUCAGUGCUCAGUACAGCUCUUUGGUGGCACUUAGUAAGAACAGGUGAGCAUGCACACAACCGCUUAGGCCCAAAUACAAUCAAUUGCAGAUAACGGAGAACCACAUGUUCAUUCAUAAGACUCUAUUUUAACUAAAGGUGUGGUUUUGCCUCAGUAAUGAUGACAUUUGUGAGAGAAACAUCUUGCCGGGUGUGUUCGUUUCAGAAUGGUUUACACUUCAGAUAGAGCAUAAACACUCUUUAUCUGCAAUUGAUUGAAUUGGUUCUUAGUUUAUAUUUAAUGACAAUAGAGGCCUAUUAGUACCUGUAGGUCUGUGUAAAAUGUGUUACCACAGGAACGGUAACUGUUGAUUGAAGUGGGUCUAUUGCUGGUUAUUGCCUUAAUGAAUCCACAGGAGGAAAAUACUAGAGGGCCAGUUGAAGCUGUUUGAGUUUUUUGACGACUGUGAGGAUGUGUGGAUUUAUGAGAAGUGGCUUCCUCUGUAGUCUGCCAGGCUGGGCAGAGACUUCAGCCAGAUCCAGCUGGAUUUUCAGAAACAGAGAGACUUGGUGGUCAUUGAGGCGGAGGUGUCCUGGACUAAAGAGGAGGGGCAGGGGCUGACCAGGAAGUACCCCCAGGUGCGGGCCAGUCUGAGUGAGAGACCACAGGAAAUGGAGGUGCGCUGGGCAAGUCUGCAGGCCAAGGCCAUCCAAUGCAGGAAGAAACUGGGGCAGGCUGAGGCUGUGCAGAGAUAUCUCACAGAAUGGACAGAACUCAUGUAGGUCUACUUAUUUUGACUUAAUGUAGUUGGGCUUGUUAAGGUGAUGCCAUAAUGUCAACCGAUGCUCUAAUGUCACAUUAAUGAUGUGCUUAUAGAUGUGUAAUAUGCACUUUAGGAACGUAUAAUUAUUGAGGUGUGACCUGACCUGGACCUAAUUUGUAAUUGAACAUAUAAUUGUAAUAUACAUUUGAGGGCUGUUAUGGUUUUGAAUCAUUAGGUUAUUUUAAUUUAGCCUUUGUUGCCAAGGACAUGGCUAAAAGAGACACUGUCCCUGGGGAGAGGUGAGGAGGGGAGGGCGCUGACCUGGAGCAGCUAAUAAAAAGACACGAAGAGUACCACGUUCAGAUUGACAUGCAGCGCAACAAAUCACAGCCCGUGAAAGAUGAGGGAAAAUACCUUGUGGAUGAAGGCAACUACACGGGCCAAGAGAUAGCAGCACAGUACUUUACAUUCAGUCAUGAUGUCAAAGCAACCUAAACAUCAAUAUAUGUUAAGCAUUAUUGUACUCAUGUUUCUAUUAUUAUGUCUUGUGUCACAAUGUUAAAUGUCCAAUGCAGCCAUUUGUAUCUUAAUAUCUAAUAAUUUUGGGGCAAUUAAGUACCUUACUGUGAUUGUUUUUGUAGUAUGAUUUAAAAUAAGGACGCGUGACAACGAGGUUCUAGCUCCAGCCUGUUUAUUAACCUAACCCUCGCAUGUCCUACAUAGGUACGGAUACCCCCAAGGGACAUCCUACUACAUCUUCCCCUCUCCCAUGACCAAGAACUCAACAUGCAUAACCACUGAAGCAUAACUGAAAUGCAAUUUGGUAACCAGUAUUAUUCUCUAACAUGCUACUUCCCAUCCUGAAACAGUAUGAAAGCAUUCAAUCACACAGUAUGAACAUUAGGUACAGUCUCUUAGGUACAGUCUCUUUUUGCUGGGUAUGUUCCCCAACAGUAUGUUUUCUCUUCACGUAACAUUGUCUUUCAGCCACUCUGGUAGCUUCACAUCCCUUUUUGGGCGCGCUUGUGGCUCUGUGAGCAUUCUCUCUCCUUCACCUUCUUUUUGUGCAUUUUCUGUGGCCUCAGUCUGUGUGGCUGGUAGAUCUGGAAGAGCUCUGAGGUGUGUUUUGUUCCUUCGUACCUCUUCUGAGCCUGUGUCCACCACAUAGGAGCAUGGGGCAUCUGAUUUCCUCAGCACUAUUGCUGGUGUCUUUGAGUUUGUAAUCCACACACGUUGACCUUCGGUCAGCUCUGGCCUCUCCUUAGCACGUUGUCUCCGAUUAAAGUCUCCAGUUUGCGUUUGUUUCAGACGUUUGUCCCUCUCAGCGAAGGCCUUCCUGUUAGGCCAUCGGGGUUUAAGCUGUGCCGGCGAGAUAGGCAAUGGGGAACGCAGCCUCCUGCCCAUCAGGAGCUCGGCAGGCGACGGCCCAUGAUGCAGUGGUGUAACUCUGUAAGCUAACCUGUAUGGAGAGGACACUUUUCAGCUGUCUGUCGAUUAAAGCAAAUGCAUGAGGUCUCAGAGGAGGUACAGCAGGACAGCAUCUUUAUGGGAUAAGUAAAGGAAAACAAUGCUGGCUGGCAUUCAGACAUUAAACUCAAUGGGGAGGUUGUGUCAUUUAAACUAGACACUGGGGCAGCAGUGACAGCUAUCCCAACUAGGCUGUAUAGCUAUAGCAGAGAUGGCCCUUUGCUCUCUACAAACAAAAAACUGUUCGGGCCCAGUAAUAAGAUUUUACCAGUGGUAGGGCAGUUGGUGAUUAAACUGGAGAGUAAAGACAAAAGUGCCAUCCAGCCUGUCUUCGUCAUUGACUCUCCAGCCAGACCGUUGCUGGGGCUGCCAGCAAUUGAAGCAUUGCAACUCAUUGAGAGAGUGAGCGAACUGGAGGACCCAGGUGAGGUUUUCAAAAAGAAAUUCCCAAAAGUGUUUUCUGGUCUAGGAAGGAUAGAAGGUGACUACAAAAUCUGCCUGAAAGAGGAUGCUGUCCCCUAUGCCCUUACCACCCCCAGCCAGGUGCCUAUCCCUUUAUUGGCCAGAGUAAAGGAAGAGUUGGGGAGGAUGGAAGAAAUUGGGUCUGUGUCUAAAAUAGAGAGACUCACAGACUGGUGUGCAUGGAUGGUGGUGCUCCCAAAAGCCAAUGGGGAAAUAAUGAUCUGUGUGGACAUGACUAAAUUGAAUGAGGCACUCUGCAGAGAGAGACACAUCUUACCAUCAGUGGAGCAGUCACUGGCUCAGUUGGAUGGCUCACAAGUCUUCACAAAGCUGGAUGCCCGCUCAGGUUUCUGGCAGAUACCGCUGUCAUCAGAGAGUAGGGCACUCACAACGUUUAUAACACCGUUUGGACGUUAAAGUUUUAAUGUUUUGCCAUUUGGAAUCGCUUCCGGUCCUGAGCAUUUCCAAACACGCAUGUCCCAGCUGUUGGAUGGGCUGAGUGGCGUCAUAGUCCACGCAGACUGUCACACCCUGACCAUAGAGAGCUGUUUAUUCUAUAUGUUGGUUGGGGUGUGACAGUGACUAGGGUGGGUUAUCUAGGUGAUUUAUGAUCUAUGUUGGCCUGGUAUGGUUCCCAAUCAGAGGCAGCUGUUUAUCGUCGUCUCUGAUUGGGGAUCAUAUUUAGGCAGCCAUUUCCCCAUUGUGCUUUGUGGGAUCUUGUCUAGGUGCCUGCGAGCACUUCAUUGAGCUUCACGGUUCGUUUAACACGUUAUUUGUUUUUUCUUUUAGUUACUUUUCCUAAUAAAGAGGAUGGAAACAUACCACGCUGCAUCUUGGUCCACUCCUUAUAACGAUCGUAACAGCAGACGUUGUUUAUCGUUCUCCCGUGUAUAUUUUGUAUUUUGCAUCUUUUUUGUAUAUAUUUCAAUGUAUUUUCUCUCUUUUUCCAUUUUUAAAUUAAAUAUACCUUCUGGCAACCCGCCUCACCCAAUGUGAUACGGAUCUGCUAUUUUUAGACCUUAUAGCCAGAACCGCCAUCAAAAGCUAACCCGCUAAUUAGCUACUAGCUAUUUAGUCAUUGUUUGCCACUGCUAGCGGCCUUUACCUUUAGCACAGUCACCAGUCGCUUUUAGCCUCGAUAAUACUUGCCAGCCUGCCAGUAUCGGACUGUUUUCUCCACUACAACACUGGAUUCCUGCCGUAAGCCCUGCACCAUUUCCCCUGAUCAUCACAGCUAGCCACCGAGUGGCCCAGCCCCAAAGCUAGCUUUGAGCCAGGCCCACCUGCUCAGUGAUCACUCGGCUACACAGCUGAUGCCUCCCGGACUCUUCACUAACACGACUAGAAUCCACUGCUCCACCGGAUUCUUGCCGUAAGCUCUGGACCUUUGCAUCGGAUCAUCGCUGCUAGCUAGCUGCUACCGAGUGGCUAUAGUGGCUAACGCCCUUGUCCCGAAACUAGCACCAGUUAGCCGAGAGCCAGGCGCAUCUCCUAGCCAGCAAACUAAAUUACUCCAGCUACAAUACUUUUGCCAACUGGCCUGGACCCUUUGUCGACACGGAGCCCCGCCGUUCCAUCAUGACUGGUCUGCCGACGUAAUUCCAUCCGUUGUGCACUCAACCGGCCUUUGCCGGACGUCGGAGCAGACGUUUCUACUAUCCCAGGCCUGCUAACUCUUUUUUUUUAAAUUUACGCUGUGUCUCCCGCUUGCUAGCGUAGUAACGACUUCUCAGCGGCUUCCCUGUUUCAUCUAUUGCUGUUCAUUGGACUCUAUGAUCACUUGGCUACAUAGCUGAUGCCUGCUGGACUGUUCAUUAAUCACGGUACUCCAUUUUGUUUAUUUUUGUUUAUCUAUUGGUCCCAGCCUCAAACUCAGGCCCUGUGUGUGCGAACUGAUCCUCUCUGCCAUUCAUCGCCCUUUUACCUGUUAUUGUUGUCAUAGCUGAUUAGCUGUUGUCUUACCUGUUGUUGUCUUAGCUAGCUCUCCCAAUAAACACCUGUGAUUGCUUUAUGCCUUGCUUUAUAUCGCUCACUAAUGUCAAUAUGCCUUGUAUACUGUUUAGGAUAGUUAUCAUUGUUUUAGUUUACUGCGAAGCCCCUAGUCCCACUCAACAUGCCUCAGAUACCUCUUUUGUCCCACCUCCCACACAUGUGGUGACCUCACCCAGCAUAACUAGUGCGUCCCAGAGAUGCAACCUCUCUUAUCGUCACUCAAUGCCUAGGUUUAUCUCCACUGUACCUGCUCCCUACCAUACCCUGCGAUAUGCAACCGACCCUGUCUGUACAUUAUGCCCUGAAUCUAUCCUACCUCGCCUAGAAAUCUGCUCCUUUUAUUCUCUGUCCCCAAUGCACUAGACGACCAGUUUUGAUAUCCUUUAGCCGUACCCUCAUCCUACUCCUCCUCUGUUCCUCAGGUGAUGUGGAGGUUAACCCAGGCCCUGCAUGUCCCCAGGCGCUCUCAUUUAUUUACUUCUGUAAACGCAAAAGCCUUGGUUUCAUGCAUGUUAACAUCAGAAGCCUCCUCCCUAAGUUUGUUUUACUCACUGCUUUAGCACACUCCGCCAACCCUGAUGUCCUUGCCGUAUCUGAAUCCUGGGUUAGGAAGGCCACCAAAAAUUCUGAGAUUUCCAUCCCUAGCUACAACAUUUUCCGUCAAGAUAGAACUGCCAAUGGGGGAGGAGUUGCAAUCUACUGCAGAGAUAGCC